rnacentral:rRNA from 1 species
AGCAGCCGCGGUAAUUCCAGCUCCAAUAGCGUAUAUUAAAGUUGUUGCAGUUAAGAAGCUCGUAGUUGAACUUCGGGGUUUACCCAUUGGUCAGGUUUAAUUAUCUGUACUGGUGAGAUAAAUCUCUACCUUCUGAGGAACUUUCAUGCCAUUUAUUUGGUGUGGGAGGAAAUCAGGACUGUUACUUUGAAAAAAUUAGAGUGUUUAAAGCAGGCUAACGUCUGAAUACAUUAGCAUGGAAUAAUGAAUAGGACGGACUGAUUCUAUUUCGUUGGUUUCUAGGAUCACCGUAAUGAUUAAUAGGGAUAGUUGGGGGCAUUAGUAUUCAAUUGUCAGAGGUGAAAUUCUUGGAUUUAUUGAAGACUAACUACUGCGAAAGCAUUUGCCAAGGAUGUUUUCAUUAAUCAAGAACGAAAGUUAGGGGAUCGAAGACGAUCAGAUACCGUCGUAGUCUUAACCAUAAACUAUGCCGACUAGGGAUCGGAACGAAGUUAAUUUAUAAUGACGCGUUCGGCACCUU